rnacentral:rRNA from 1 species
AACGAACGCCGGCGGCAGGCUUAACACAUGCAAGUCGAACGCAUCGCAAGAUGAGUGGCAGACGGGUGAGUAACGCGUGGGAACAUACCCUUUUCUACGGAAUAGCUCUGGGAAACUGGAAUUAAUACCGUAUACGCCCUACGGGGGAAAGAUUUAUCGGGGAAGGAUUGGCCCGCGUUGGAUUAGCUAGUUGGUGGGGUAAAGGCCUACCAAGGCGACGAUCCAUAGCUGGUCUGAGAGGAUGAUCAGCCGCAUUGGGACUGAGACACGGCCCAAACUCCUACGGGAGGCAGCAGUGGGGAAUAUUGGACAAUGGGCGCAAGCCUGAUCCAGCCAUGCCGCGUGAGUGAUGAAGGCCUUAGGGUUGUAAAGCUCUUUCACCGAUGAAGAUAAUGACGGUAGUCGGAGAAGAAGCCCCGGCUAACUUCGUGCCAGCCGCCGCAGUAAGAC